AACUUUGCUGUCUCCUGUGUGUGUGGGGAAAGGGGAGGGACAGAAGGAACAGGUAAGGCAAACUCCUACGUUUAGAAAAUAUCUGCUUGACAACUUAUUAUGGAGCUGGGAACAAGCCCAAAUAAGCAACUACACUUUAGAAACAAGCCCAAAAAAAACGUGACCCGCGACUACCAAUAUUUGUAAGCGACUUUACAGAAAAACAAGCCCAAAGUUGCUUAUAAUAAGCGGACUUGGCAACACUGGUCACUAGACUGAUUCCAGGGACG